rnacentral:miRNA from 2 species
AUUUUGUAUCAGUAAACCGGAAU